UACGUAGGGGGCUAGCGUUGUCCGGAAUCAUUGGGCGUAAAGCGCGUGUAGGCGGUCCGGUAAGUCCGCUGUGAAAGUCGGGGGUCAACCCUCGGAUGCCCGGUGGAUACUGUCGGGCUUGAGUACGGAAGAGGCGAGUGGAAUUCCUGGUGUAGCGGUGAAAUGGCGCAGAUAGUCAAGGAGGAACACCAAUUGCGAAGGCA
rnacentral:rRNA from 1 species